GACCUCCAAAUCAGGUAGGACUACCCGCUGAACUUAAGCAUAUCA
rnacentral:rRNA from 1 species